CAGUCGCCACGGUAAUACGGAGGGAGCUAGCGUUGUUCGGAAUUACUGGGCGUAAAGCGCGCGUAGGCGGUUACUCAAGUCAGAGGUGAAAGCCCGGGGCUCAACCCCGGAACUGCCUUUGAAACUAGGUGACUAGAAUCUUGGAGAGGUCAGUGGAAUUCCGAGCGUAGAGGUGAAAUUCGUAGAUAUUCGGAAGAACACCAGUGGCGAAGGCGGCUUACUGGCUCAUUCUAGACGCUGAGGUGCGAAAGCGUGGGGAGCAAACAGGAUUAGAUACCCGAGUAGUCCCUGUCUCUUAUAC
rnacentral:rRNA from 1 species